rnacentral:rRNA from 1 species
UACGAAGGGGGCUAGCGUUGUUCGGAAUUACUGGGCGUAAAGCGCGCGUAGGCGGCUUUGCAAGCCAGAGGUGAAAUGCCUGAGCUCAACUUGGGAAUUGCCUUUGGGACUGUGAGGCUUUGAGGACUGGAGAGGUGAGUGGAAUUCCCAGUGUAGAGGUGAAAUUCGUAGAUAUUGGGAAGAACACCGGUGGCGAAGGCGGCUCACGGGCCAGUUUUUGACGCUGCAGCGCGAAAGCGUGGGGAUCAAACAGG